GGAGCAAACAGGAUUAGAUACCCGGUAUUCCCCCCGUAACAAUGAUUGUUAGUGUUGGGGGUCAACCUCGGUGCCGCAGCUAACGCAUUAAGCAUUCCGCUUGGGGAUACUACCAAGUAUGAAACUCAAGGGAAAUUGACGGGACCCGCACAAGCAGCGGAGCAUGUGGUUUAAUUCGAAGCAACGCGAAGAACCUUACCAGGGCUUGACAUGCCACUGACCGCAUCAGAGAUGGUGCUUUACCUUCGGGUACAGUGGACACAGGUGGUGCAUGGUUGUCGUCAGCUCGUGUCGUGAGAUGUUGGGUUAAGUCCCGCAACGAGCGCAACCCCUGUUUCUAGUUGCCAGCAUUAAGUUGGGCACUCUAGAGAGACUGCCGAUGACAAAUCGGAGGAAGGUGGGGAUGACGUCAAAUCAUCAUGCCCUUUAUGCCCUGGGCUACACACGUGCUACAAUGGUCGGUACAACGAGGAGCAAACCAGUGAUGGCAAGCAAAUCUCUAAAAGCCGAUCCCAGUUCGGAUUGUAGGCUGCAACUCGCCUACAUGAAGUCGGAGUUGCUAGUAAUCGCGGAUCAGAAUGUCGCGGUGAAUGCGUUCCCGGGUCUUGUACACACCGCCCGUCACACCAUGGGAGUUGUCAAUACCCGAAGCCAGUGAGCUAACCAGUAAUGGAGGCAGCUGUCGAAGGUAGGGGCGAUGACUGGGGUGAAGUCGUAACAAGGUAUCCGUAA
rnacentral:rRNA from 1 species